CAGCAGCCGCGGUAAUACAGAGGGUGCGAGCGUUAAUCGGAUUUACUGGGCGUAAAGCGUGCGUAGGCGGCUUCUUAAGUCGGAUGUGAAAUCCCCGGGCUUAACCUGGGAACUGCAUUUGAAACUGGCAGGCUAGAGUCUUGUAGAGGGGGGUAGAAUUCCAGGUGUAGCGGUGAAAUGCGUAGAGAUCUGGAGGAAUACCGGUGGCGAAGGCGGCCCCCUGGACAAAGACUGACGCUCAGGUGCGAAAGCGUGGGGAGCAAACAGGAUUAGAUACCCCAGUAGUCCCUGUCUCUUAUAC
rnacentral:rRNA from 1 species